rnacentral:rRNA from 1 species
AGAAUCAACGCUGGCGGCGUGCCUAACACAUGCAAGUCGCACGAGAAAGUAGACUUCGGUCUGCGAGUAAAGUGGCGCACGGGUGAGUAACACGUGAAUAAUCUACCUCCGAGUGGGGAAUAACUUCGGGAAACCGAGGCUAAUACCGCAUAACACUUACGAGUCAAAGCAGCAAUGCGCUUGGAGAGGAGUUCGCGGCAGAUUAGUUAGUUGGCGGGGUAAUGGCCCACCAAGACGAUGAUCUGUAUCCGGCCUGAGAGGGCGCACGGACACACUGGAACUGAAACACGGUCCAGACUCCUACGGGAGGCAGCAGUGGGGAAUUUUGCGCAAUGGGGGAAACCCUGACGCAGCAACGCCGCGUGGAGGAAGAAAUAUCUUGGUAUGUAAACUCCUUUCGAUCGGGACGAUAAUGACGGUACCGAGAGAAGAAGCCCCGGCUAACUUCGUGCCAGCAGCCGC